CUCGACUAGGGAUAACAGGGUAAUUGUUUGAAUGAGGCUUCAGUACUUUACAGAAUCGUUGCCUGCACAUCUUGGAAACACUUGCUGGGAUUACUUCUUCAGGUUAACCCAACAGAAGGCUCGAGAAGGUAUAUUGCUGUUGACAGUGAGCGCAGGAAUUAUAAUGCUUAUCUAUAGUGAAGCCACAGAUGUAUAGAUAAGCAUUAUAAUUCCUAUGCCUACUGCCUCGGAAUUCAAGGGGCUACUUUAGGAGCAAUUAUCUUGUUUACUAAAACUGAAUACCUUGCUAUCUCUUUGAUACAUUUUUACAAAGCUGAAUUAAAAUGGUAUAAAUUAAAUCACUUUUUU
rnacentral:misc_RNA from 5 species